rnacentral:rRNA from 1 species
UGGGGAAUAUUGCACAAUGGGGGAAACCCUGAUGCAGCGACGCCGCGUGAACGAAGAAGGUAUUCGUAUCGUAAAGUUCUGUCCUAUGGGAAGAUAAUGACAGUACCAUAGAAGAAAGCUCCGGCUAAAUACGUGCCAGCAGCCGCGGUAAUACGUAUGGAGCGAGCGUUGUCCGGAAUUAUUGGGCGUAAAGGGUACGCAGGCGGUUUAAUAAGUCGAAUGUUAAAGAUCGGGGCUCAACCCCGCAAAGCAUUGGAAACUGAUAAACUUGAGUAGUGGAGAGGAAAGUGGAAUUCCUAGUGUAGUGGUGAAAUACGUAGAUAUUAGGAGGAAUACCAGUCGCGAAGGCGACUUUCUGGACACAAACUGACGCUGAGGUACGAAAGCGUGGGGAGCAAACAGG